rnacentral:misc_RNA from 1 species
GAUGAAGAACGUAGCGAAAUGCGAUAAGUAAUGUGAAUUGCAGAGUUCAGUGAAUCAUCGAAUCUUUGAACGCACAUUGCGCCCGUCAGUAUUCUGACGGGCAUGCCUGUCCGAGCGUCAUUUCAACCCUCAAGCACUGCUUGGCGUUGGCGAUUGCGUGCCCUCGCGGCGCUGCAACCGCCCAAAUACAGUGGCGGUCCCGCUGCGGCUCCCUUUGCGUAGUAACUCACCUCGCACUGGACCGGGCGGCGGCCUGCCGUAAAACCCCAACUCACGAAAUGUUGACCUCGGAUCAGGUAGGAAUACCCGCUGAACUUAAGCAUAUCAAUAAGCGGAGGA